AUUCUUAUUUCUGUUCCUAUAGGGAGGGCUGAAGGUUGUUACAUAAAAGCUAUAGACAACGAGAAAUUCAAUUGACUGUGGAAAUCAAAUGAAUCAGCUAUGACUGCUCUCAGGUUUACCUUUUUGAGACCUCAUUUCCAUCUUCAAAUGUCAAAUUUCUAAACCUUCAGCCCUCAUUUUUUUUCAUCUUCAGUUGAUAUAGGAAACUGAGAAUUUGAAAUUUUACAGUAUAUUGUACCGACUUCUAAUAUUAGAGGCUUGGUUUGUUUUUGUUUCAUCAAAUUACCAAAGUAAACAGGUCUGGAACCAAUUUGAUUUGAUCAAGUUGGUGGUCAAUCGUAUAAGCAUUCCCUUGUUGGAAAUAGUACGAAUUGACCUUGAAUUACUGUUUGUGUUCUCACCCCCUAUUUGGCCUAUCAUUGAUAAAACCUUGAAUUACUUUGAAUUGUGCAUUUUAAUAACAACAUCUGCUUUUGUUCAGGUUAUCUCUCAUCAAUUUAUAGUUAUACAGAUUGUUUAGGCUACAAAACUUGAUCAUGUUCUUCUGUUGAUUCCAUUUUUGUUACUUUUGGUUUCUUAGUCUCUGCAGAUUUACCGAUGACUUCAUUUUUUUUGGCUGGUGCAUGCUAAGCGUUCUUCAACUCAAUAUUUUGCUGGUGUUACUCAAAGUGUGGAGCACUUAGUACAAGAACAACCGGAGUACUAGAGUCAUCUGUUUUUUUUAACGAACACCAGAUUAAGCUCUACUGCUGCAGCUGUAACUGAAACAACAAUUUUUGGAACACUAAGAGCAGCUUUUUUUUU
rnacentral:lncRNA from 1 species